UUCACCAAGGCAUAUCAAAGCAGUUACAGGAAGAGAAUUCAUGUGGUGACAUGAUGAGUCUGCCGUCUAUCAUUCUGUUGACACCCUUCAGAAACGUCCCAGCAACAAAACAGCUCAGCGAAUACUUGAGGGGGAUAAGGACCUGGACUAGACAAAGGGCUUGGUAGGUGACCAGAACUGCACGCAAUACUGAGAGAAGGAAAUCGACCCUUCACCCGUGACCCUUCACCCGUGACCUUGGAGCCAUCGACGCAGUGGAGUCUUAACUGCACUUGGAAAUGGCGAAGCAAGCCGCGUACAGAAUGGACGGAAGACGACCUGCCUGAGGAAGCCUACUGAGAAGAAGUCAUCACCCUGACACAGUGGUGUCGAGACAACAACCUCUCUCUCAAUGUCACGAAAUCAAAGAAUCUGCUUGUGGACUACAGGAGGAACGGAGACAGGCUCACCUCUAUUGACAUCAAUGGAUCUGGGGUAGAGAGAAACAUAGAACAUAGAAAACCUACAGCACAAUACAGGCCCUUCAGCCCACAAUGCUGUGCCGAACAUGACCUUACUUUAGAAAUUACCUAGGGUUACCCAUAGCCCUCUAUUUUUCUAAGCUCCAUGUAUCUAUCCAGGAGUCUCUUAAAAGACCCUAUUGUAUCUGCCUCCACCACCGUUGCCGGCAACCCAUUCCACGCACUCACCACUCUGCGUAAAAAAAAACUUACCUCUGACAUCUCCUCUGUACCUACUUCCAAGCAUCUUAAAACUGUGUUAGCCGUUUCAGCCCUGGGGAAAAACCUCUGACUAUCCACACGAUCAAUGCUUCUCAUUAUCCUAUACAACUCUAUCAGGUCACCUCUCAUCCUCCGUCGUGAGAGAGUGAACAGCUUUAAGUUCCUCGGUAUGCACGUCACCGAGGACCCCACGUGGUGCGUACUGGCUGCGUGGUAAAAAAGCACAACAGCUCAUUUUUCACCUCACACAGUUGAAAAAGUUCGGCAUGAGUCCCCAGAUCCCAAGGACUUUCUACUGGGUCACAAUUGAGAGCAUCCUGACUGGCCGCAUCACUGCCCGGUACGGGAACUGUACUUCACGCAAUUGCAGGACUCUGCAGAGAGUGAUGCGGACAGCCCAGCGCAUCUGUGCUUCCCACUAUUCAGGACAUUUACAGCAACGGGUGUGUAAAAAGGGCCCAAAGGUUUAUUGGGGACCUGAGUCUCCCCAGCCACAAAUUGUUCCAGCUGCUACCACCCAGGAAACGGUAUCGCAGCAUAAACGCCAGGACCAACAGGCUCCGGGACAGCUUCUUCCACCAAGCCAUCAGACUGAUUAAUUCACACUGACGCAAUUGUAUUUCUAAGUUAUAUUGACUGUUCUGUUGUUUAUCUUACUGUACAUCCUAUUUAUUAGAAAUUACUAUAAUUUGCACAUUGCUCAUUUCAGACAGAGACGUAACGUAAACAUUUUUACUCCUCACCUAUGUAAAGGAUGUAAGAAAUGAAGUCAAUUCAAUUCAAAAACUAUGCUUGUAUCAAAUUGACAGUAGUUUUACUACUA